CCGAAUGGGGAAACCCACUAUAUUGAAGAUAUAGUACCCGACUUGUCGGGGGCAAACCCGGAGAACUGAAACAUCUAAGUAUCCGGAGGAGAAGAAAACAAAAGUGAUUCCGUAAGUAGCGGCGAGCGAACGCGGAGUAGCCCAAACCCAAUUUGUUAAGGCAAAUUGGGGGUAAUAGGACCUCGAUAUUCAAUGCUUGCAGAACUAGAAACUACUGGAAAGUAGUACCACAGAGGGUGAUAGUCCCGUAUAGGUAAUAAGAGUUAUUGAUAGAGGUAUCCUGAGUAGUGCGGGGCACGUGAAACCUUGCAUGAAUUUGCCGGGACCAUCCGGUAAGGCUAA
rnacentral:rRNA from 1 species